rnacentral:rRNA from 1 species
CGCAGCCGCGGUAAUUCCAGCUCCAAUAGCGUAUAUUAAAGUUGUUGCAGUUAAAAAGCUCGUAGUUGAAUUUCGGGAUUAAUAUGCAGGUCGUGCCAUUGGUACGUACUAGUAUUAUUGAUUUCUCCCUUCUGAUGAACCAUGAUGUCAUUAAUUUGAUGUCAUGGGGAAUCAGGACUGUUACUUUGAAAAAUUAGAGUGUUUAAAGCAGGCUCGCGCUUGAAUACAUUAGCAUGGAAUAAUGAAAUAGGACGUUUGAUUCUAUUUUGUUGGUUUCUAGGAUUGACGUAAUGAUUAAUAGGGAUAGUUGGGGGCAUUAGUAUUCAAUUGUCAGAGUGAAAUUCUUGGAUUUAUUGAAGACUAACUACUGCGAAAGCAUUUGCCAAGGAUGUUUUCAUUAAUCAAGAACGAAAGUUAGGGGAUCGAAGACGAUCAGAUACCGUCGUAGUCUUAACCAUAAACUAUGCCGACUAGGAUCGGAUGAUGUAAUUNUGACUC